rnacentral:lncRNA from 1 species
ACAGAAACGUUUUGGAGUCUAUUAAUCUGCUGCUCAUUUUCGAAAAUGCCAUCAGCAUCUUUCCUGUAACAUGUAGAGGGCCCCCUCCUUUGGAAACUGCGGUGUAUGGCUGGCAGGUGCAAUUGUUUGACCAUUUCUGAGUAGCGCUCAUUUCUGCAGGCGUCUGCCAGUUUGGAGCUGUCACAAGCAAGGCUGCCGGGGGCCUCUUUGCUCCUUUAUGUUUGGACACCAAUGGUUGCUUUGCUGUAGGAAAGACGAGAUUGCUGGUGAGACAGCAGCCACUGCUCCCAGGCCCGAGAACAGGGGCAGCACCAAAGCUGGUCAGUGUUUCCUCCUUACAGGCAGGAGGAAGCUAAAAUCCCACCGUGUUGUCUCCAGUUGUUGGACUGUCUGCCCCAUGAGGGAACAAAAGCUCCAUCGACGAGCGUGGAUCCAGAAGCCCAGGAAAUCAGGCUGGAGCCUUCCUUACUUCUGCUGUCUGCAGUGACCACUCUGGAUUUGGGAUCCAGCCUCCCUG